rnacentral:lncRNA from 1 species
AUGGGAUCUAUGAGGUGAAUGGGGAGCUGUGGGGUGAUGUGUGGGGCAGAGCCAGGAAUGAAUGGGGAUCUAUGGGGCAGAAAUGGGAUCUAUGGGGCUGAAUGGGGCGAUGUGUGGGGCAGGGCGGAGAAUGAAUGGGGAUCUAUGGGGCGUAAGUGGGAUCUAUGGGGCUGAAUGGGAAUCUAUGGGGCACGAAUAGGGCUCUAUGGGGAUGAAUGGGGAUCUGUGGGGCACGAAUAGGGCUCUAUGGGGAUGAAUGGGGAUCUAUGGGGCGCUGUGGGGCUCUAUGGGGCACAAAUGGGAUCUAUGGGGCGCAACCAGGGAGCUGUGGGGCACCAGAGGGGUGUGUGGGGC